AAUUGCAGAGGUCCCUGUGCUCAAAGGGGGUGGGCCCCGUGCUCACAGUCCCUGAGGAGAGGUCCCCCAAUGGACAAGUGCUCAGGGCCCAAAAGAGGCACUAUGUGUCAUCAAGAGGAAAAUACAGCUGCACUAGCAGAGUCUCACUCUGUUGCCCAGGCUUGAGUGCAGUGGUGCAAUCUCGGCUCACUGCAACCUCCAUCUCCCGGAUUCAAGCAAUUCUCCUGCCUCUGCCUCCCGAAUAGCCAGGAUUACAGUUACCAUCCUAAUGGACACAGGGAUGCUUGUAAAGUGACAAACUUCACAUCUUCCCAGAGGCAUCCCAGGUCACCCCACCUAGCACUGCGGACGCCCACGUGGUCCCACCCCUCACUUGGCAAUAUUCUCAUCAAGUGUCAGCACUAGCUUAUUGUAUUGACUGCCUCCUGGCUGGACUCUAAGAGACAGUGUCUUUUAUUGCAUGCUGUACCCCCAACAUCUAGAACAGUGACAGGCAUACAGUUGUUUAAUAAACGGUGGAAGGAAGGAAGGAAGGAAGGAAGGAAGGAAGGAAGGAAG